UUGGUGCAGGCGGUGUUCAGGGAGAUGGUGUGGGAGUUCAGCGUACCCUCACAGCGGUCUCUGUCUGUCUGCGUCUCUCCACAGAGGUGGCUAGCGUCUGUACCUUCCUGGCCUCCGACGAGAGCAGCUACAUCACUGGAGCCAGUCUGGAGGUGACAGGAGGACUCUUCAUGUGACCGGCGACAAGGGGCAGGAGGCUGAGGAUGACAGGGAAUUCCACUACCGGGCUAUGCAAGACCAGGAAUGUCUCACUCGGAUUUGCCUCGCUGUCACUUCCACCCUGCCUUCCUGUUCCCUGGAGCUGCAUCUCCUCCCCAUCCCAGCCACGCUCCCUCCACCCGAGUGCCUGUCAUCAGCAUCGCCCCACAGGAACCCUGGGUCCUUCCCUGAUUCCCCGAACUCGGGGAACUGGGCUGACAUUCCUCAACAACGCUGACUCGGGAGUGAGCCUGAGGCUGCUGAGUGUGCCCCUUCCGAAUCACUCUGGGGUUACGUUGCCCGACAGGAAAGGAUAAACUGGACCAGCUAACCCUGCCCCCUGCCCCCGCCAGUGAAGCAGCAGUGAGGCCUGGGAACAGGAUGCCAGCCUGGAUUCACGUUGCAGCUCGUUUCUUCCUGACCUGAUGGUAGGGAGUAGGUCUGGGAGCACCUUGGCUAUGCUGAAUGGUUUGAGUGGCAGGGAGGAGCCUGUCAGACUCUACAAAAAGGCAGAUCAAAACUGAGUUCCUGGGCCUUCUGUAACUCUCGAUCAAUGACUUGCAACAACUCACUGUAUAAUUACGGGAAUUUAUUAUCCAAACAGAAUAAAGUCAUCAACAAACCGAAAA